rnacentral:rRNA from 2 species
UGAGGAAUAUUGGUCAAUGGGCGAGAGCCUGAACCAGCCAAGUCGCGUGAAGGAAGAAGGAUCUAUGGUUCGUAAACUUCUUUUGCAGGGGAAUAAAGUGCAGGACGUGUCCUGUUUUGUAUGUACCCUGAGAAUAAGGAUCGGCUAACUCCGUGCCAGCAGCCGCGGUAAUACGGAGGAUCCGAGCGUUAUCCGGAUUUAUUGGGUUUAAAGGGUGCGUAGGUGGUUUAAUAAGUCAGCGGUGAAAGUUUGCAGCUUAACUGUAAAAAUGCCGUUGAAACUGUUAGACUUGAGUGUAAAUGAGGUAGGCGGAAUGCGUGGUGUAGCGGUGAAAUGCUUAGAUAUCACGCAGAACUCCGAUUGCGAAGGCAGCUUACCAAGCUACAACUGACACUGAAGCACGAAAGCGUGGGGAUCAAACAGG